GAGGGGGUUACCCCACCCCCUUUUGGUUGAAAACUUGUAAACGGUCAACAUCCCCACCCCUAAACCAUAUAUAUUCUUGUAGGGGACAAUAAAACAAAUGAAAUGAAAUAAGAGGGAAGUCCCAAGGGUAUCACCCCACCCCCUCUUGUUUGAAAACUUGUAAACGGUCAACAUCCCCACCCCUAAACCAUAUAUAUUCUUGUAUGGAACAAUAAAACUAAUCAAAUAAAAUUAAAGAGAAGUUCCUGGGGGUAACUCCACUCCGUUCAAUUUGAGAAUGUGCUAUUAUCUUGUAAACGGUCCAGAUCCCCACCCUUAAACCAUAUACAUUCUUGUAGGGGACAAUAAAACAAAUCAAAUGAAAUGUAGGUAAAUUUCCUGGGGGUCACCACCACCCCCUCCUGUUUGAAUACUUGUAAAUGGUGGAGAUCCCUACUUGUAAGCCAUAUAUAUUCUUGUAUGGGACAAAAAAUUAAAUCAAAUGAACAUGGGACCAUAUGAAUAGCGAGUUAUGGGAGCUUUGUUUGGGAG
rnacentral:lncRNA from 1 species